rnacentral:rRNA from 1 species
AGUGGGGAAUAUUGGACAAUGGGGGGAACCCUGAUCCAGCCAUGCCGCGUGUGUGAAGAAGGCCUUAUGGUUGUAAAGCACUUUAAGCGAGGAGGAGGCUACUGAGACUAAUACUCUUGGAUAGUGGACGUUACUCGCAGAAUAAGCACCGGCUAACUCUGUGCCAGCAGCCGCGGUAAUACAGAGGGUGCGAGCGUUAAUCGGAUUUACUGGGCGUAAAGCGUGCGUAGGCGGCUUUUUAAGUCGGAUGUGAAAUCCCCGAGCUUAACUUGGGAAUUGCAUUCGAUACUGGGAAGCUAGAGUAUGGGAGAGGAUGGUAGAAUUCCAGGUGUAGCGGUGAAAUGCGUAGAGAUCUGGAGGAAUACCGAUGGCGAAGGCAGCCAUCUGGCCUAAUACUGACGCUGAGGUACGAAAGCAUGGGGAGCAAACAGGAUUAGAUACCCUGGUAGUCCAUGCCGUAAACGAUGUCUACUAGCCGUUGGGGCCUUUGAGGCUUUAGUGGCGCAGCUAACGCGAUAAGUAGACCGCCUGGGGAGUACGGUCGCAAGACUA